rnacentral:rRNA from 1 species
UACGAAGGGGGCUAGCGUUGUUCGGAAUUACUGGGCGUAAAGCGCACGUAGGCGGGUUGUUAAGUCAGGGGUGAAAUCCUGGAGCUCAACUCCAGAACUGCCUUUGAUACUGGCAACCUAGAGACUGGAAGAGGUUAGUGGAAUUCCCAGUGUAGAGGUGAGAUUCGUAGAUAUUGGGAAGAACACCAGUGGCGAAGGCGGCUAACUGGUCCAGCACUGACGCUGAGGUGCGAAAGCGUGGGGAGCAAACAGG